GGGGUAAUGGGGGUAAUGGGGGCAAUGGGGUGAUGGGGGCAGUGGGGUAAUGGGGGUUAUGGGGUAAUGGGUCUCUAUGGGUCUCUAUGUGUCCCUAUGUGUCUCUAUGGGUCUCUAUGUGUCUCUAUGGGUCCCUAUGUGUCCCUAUGGGUCUCUAUGUGUCCCUAUGUGUCUCUAUGUGUCUCUAUGGGUCCCUAUGUGUCCCUAUGUGUCCCUAUGUGUCUCUAUGUGUCCCUAUGUGUCUGUAUGUGUCCCUAUGUGUCCCUAUGGGUCCCUGUGUGUCUCUAUGUGUCCCUAUGUGUCUCUAUGGGGCUCUAUGUGUCCCUAUGUGUCUCUAUGGGGCCCUAUGUGUCCCUAUGGGUCCCUAUGUGUCCCUAUGUGUCCCUAUGUGUCUCUAUGUGUCUCUAUGGGUCCCUAUGUGUCCCUACGUGUCCCUAUGUGUCUCUAUGUGUCCCUAUGUGUCUGUAUGUGUCCCUAUGUGUCCCCAUGGGUCCCUGUGUGUCUCUAUGUGUCCCUAUGUGUCUCUAUGGGGCUCUAUGUGUCCCUAUGUGUCUCUAUGGGGCCCUAUGUGUCCCUAUGGGUCCCUAUGGGUCCCUAUGUGUCUCUAUGUGUCUCUGUGCGUCUCUAUGGGUCCCUAUGUGUCCCUAUAGGUCUCUGUGUGUCCCUAUGUGUCCCUAUGGGUCUCUGUGUGUCCCUAUGUGUCCCUAUGGGUCCCUAUGUUUCCCUAUGGGUCCCUAUGUGUCCCUAUGUGUCUCCAUGGCGUCCCUAUGGGUCCCUAUGUGUCUCUAUGGGUCUCUAUGUGUCCCUAUGUGUCUGUAUGUGUCCCUAUGGGUCCCUAUGGGUCUCUGUGUGUCUCUAUGUGUCUGUAUGUGUCCCUAUGUGUCUCUAUGUGUCUCUGUGCGUCUCUAUGGGUCUCUAUGUGUCCCUAUGUGUCUCCAUGGCAUCCCUAUGUGUCUCCAUGGCAUCCCUAUGGGUCCCUAUGGGUCGCUAUGGGUCCCUAUGGGUCGCAAUGUGUCGGUAUGUGUCCCCAUGGUGGCUGUGUGUCUCUAUGUGUCCCUAUGUGUCUCUAUGUGUCUCCAUGGGGUCUCUAUGUGUCCCUACGUGUCCCUAUGUGUCUCUAUGUGUCCCUAUGUGUCUCUAUGUGUCCCUACGUGUCUCCAUGGCAUCCCUAUGGGUCCCUAUGGGUCUCUGUGGGUCGCUAUGGGUCGCACUGUAUCGGUGUGUGUCCCCAUGGUGGCUGUGUGUCUCUAUGUGUCUCAGUGUGUCUCUAUGGGUCUCUAUGUGUCCCUGUGUGUCUCUAUGUGUCCCUACGUGUCCCUACGUGUCCCUAUGUGUCUGUAUGUGUCCCUAUGUGUCUCUAUGUGUCUCUAUGUGUCCCUACGUGUCCCUAUGUGUCCUUAUGUGUCUCUAUGUGUCUCUAUGGGUCCCUAUGUGUCCCUAUGUGUCUCUAUGGGUCUCUAUGUGUCUCUAUGUGUCCCUAUGUGUCCCUAUGUGUCUCUAUGGGUCCCUAUGUGUCCCUAUGUGUCCCUAUGGGUCUCUAUGUGUCUCUAUGUGUCUCUAUGUGUCCCUAUGUGUCCCUAUGUGUCUCUAUGGGUCCCUAUGUGUCCCUAUGGGUCUCUAUGUGUCCCUACGUGUCGCUAUGUGUCUCUAUGUGUCCCUAUGUGUCCCUACGUGUCUCCAUGGGGUCCCUAUGGGUCGCUAUGGGUCGCUAUGGGUCGCUCUGUGUCCCCAUGUGUCGGUAUGUGUCCCCAUGGUGGCUGUGUGUCUGUAUGUGUCUCUAUGUGUCUCUAUGGGUCCCUAUGUGUCCCUAUGGGUCCCUGUGUGUCUCUAUGUGUCCCUGUGUGUCUCUAUGUGUCUCUAUGUGUCCCUAUGUGUCCCUAUGUGUCCCUACGUGUCCCUAUGUGUCCCUAUGUGUCUCUAUGUGUCUCUGUGCGUCUCUAUGUGUCCCUAUGUGUCUGUAUGUGUCCCUAUGUGUCCCUAUGGGUCCCUAUGGGUCUCUGUGUGUCUCUAUGUGUCCCUACGUGUCCCUAUGUGUCCCUAUGUGUCCCUAUGUGUCCCUAUGGGUCCCUGUGUGUCUCUAUGUGUCCCUAUGUGUCUCUAUGGGUCCCUAUGUGUCCCUACGUUUCCCUAUGUGUCCCUAUGUGUCCCUAUGUGUCUCUAUGUGUCCCUAUGUGUCCCUAUGGGUCUCUAUGUGUCCCUAUGGGUCCCUAUGGGUCCCUAUGGGUCGCUAUGGGUCGCUAUGGGUCGCUAUGGGUCCCCAUGUGUCGGUGUGUGUCCCCCCGGUGGCUGUGUGUCUCUAUGUGUCCCUAUGUGUCCCUAUGGGUCCCUACGUGUCCCUGUGUGUCUCUAUGUGUCCCUAUGUGUCCCUAUGUGUCCCUAUGGGUCUCUAUGUGUCCCUAUGUGUCCCUCUGUGUCCCUAUGGGUCUCUAUGGGUCUCUAUGUGUUUCUAUGGGUCUCUAUGUGUCUCUAUGGGGUCUCUAUGGG
ensembl:lncRNA